CCUACGGGGAGCAGCAGUGAGGAAUAUUGGUCAAUGGCCGGAAGGCUGAACCAGCCAUGCCGCGUGAAGGUCAGUGCCCUAUGGGCGUUAAACUUCUUUUGUGCGGGAGCAAUAAUGGUCACGUGUGGCCAGACGAGAGUACCGUACGAAUAAGCAUCGGCUAACUCCGUGCCAGCAGCCGCGGUAAUACGGGGGAUGCAAGCGUUAUCCGGAUUUAUUGGGUUUAAAGGGUGCGUAGGCUGUGAGGUAAGUCAGCGGUGAAAUGCCCCCGCUCAACGGGGUGAAGUGCCAUUGAUACUGCCGUGCUGGAAUGCGGAUGCCGUGGGAGGAAUGUGUGGUGUAGCGGUGAAAUGCAUAGAUAACACACAGAACACCGAGUGCGAAGGCAUCUCACGAAUCCGCUAUUGACGCUGAUGCACGAAAGCAUGGGUAUCAAACAGGAUUAGAUACCCCAGUAGUC
rnacentral:rRNA from 1 species